UUGUGUCACAUUUGAUAGCAUUUGUUUCGGUCAAAUACGGAAGCCGAUAGAGGCCCUUUUUGUAAUACUUUUUUAAUUCACCCUGUUAUCCCGAGAUAACGACAUAAUUAAUUCAGGAUCUCGAGAAAACAACACAACUAAUUCGAGAUCUCAAGAAAACAAAGCCUUUGUUUCGAGAUCUCGAGAAAACACAACAAUUAUGCCGUGAUCUUGAGAAAACAAAACAAUUAUUUCAUGAUCUCGAGUAAACAGCUGACAAAUGGGUCAUUCAAGUAGGCUACGCCAAGAGGCUUGUAUGAUGACUUCGGGGCUAUAUCUCAUUCUGUAUAGAUGCAACGCUGGUCUUUAGAAUGUCUGGAAUAAUCGAUCACCUAAUAAGGCAAUAUUUUGAUCAGG